GUGAGGGACUAAAACGUAAUUCUAAAAGUCAAAGACUAUUUAAUUAACUUUUGAAAAAGAAAAGAUGCAAGUGUAGAUUUCACUCAUUGUUAAGAGGCUUCUGUAAUUUACUCUAAAAUCGUUUUGAGCAAUUGAAAUGCAGUAUUAAAUAUUUUUUUCUAUGUGUGAAGUGUAAUUGAGCAUGUCAUAUGCCCUUGACCACUUUAAAC
rnacentral:misc_RNA from 1 species